rnacentral:rRNA from 1 species
CCCUUAGAUGUUCUGGGCCGCACGCGCGCUACACUGAUGCAUUCAACAAGCCUAGCCUUGACCGAGAGGUCCGGGUAAUCUUUGAAACUGAAUCGUGAUGGGGCUAGAUUAUUGCAAUUAUUAAUCUUCAACGAGGAAUGCCUAGUAAGCGUGAUUCAUCAAAUCGCGUUGAUUACGUCCCUGCCCUUUGUACACACCGCCCGUCGCUCCUACCGAUUGAAUGUGUUGGUGAGGAGCUCGGAUUGGCAGCAGUUGGUGGUUCGCCACCGGCUAUUGCUGAGAAGUCCUCCAAACCGCCCCAUUUAGAGGAAGGAGAAGUCGUAACA